CAUUGUUCUCAGGGCGGGGUGUAAUUCCCCACCGGCGGUAAGGCAGCGAUGUCGAGCCCGCGAGCGCUCCCGGUUCGGGAGGUCAGCAGAUCCGGUGUGAUUCCGGAGCCGACGGUCAUAGUCCGGAUGAAAGAGAACGGGA
rnacentral:ncRNA from 2 species